rnacentral:ncRNA from 1 species
UUAAUGGAGAGUUUGAUCCUGGCUCAGGACGAACGCUGGCGGCGUGCUUAACACAUGCAAGUCGAGCGGAAAGGCCCCUUCGGGGGUACUCGAGCGGCGA